GAGGUGCUUGCACCUUAUCUUAGCGGCGGACGGGUGAGUAAUGCUUAGGAAUCUGCCUAUUAGUGGGGGACAACAUUCCGAAAGGGCUAAUACCGCAUACGUCCUACGGGAGAAAGCAGGGGAUCUUCGGACCUUGCGCUAAUAGAUGAGCCUAAGUCGGAUUAGCUAGUUGGUGGGGUAAAGGCCUACCAGGCGACGAUCUGUAGCGGGUCUGAGAGAUGAUCCG
rnacentral:rRNA from 1 species